rnacentral:rRNA from 1 species
AACGUAGGGGACAAGCGUUAUCCGGAUUUACUGGGCGUAAAGCGCCCGUAGGCGGCCUGACAAGUUGGACGUGAAAGCUCCUGGCUUAACUGGGAGAGGCCGUUCAAAACUGUCAAGCUAGAGUCUGGAAGAGGAGAGCGGAAUUCCCGGUGUAGCAGUGAAAUGCGUAGAGAUCGGGAGGAACAUCAGUUGCGAAGGCGGCUCUCUGGACCAGCACUGACACUGAGGCACGAAAGCGUGGGGAGCAAACAGG